AUUGAACGCUGGCGGCAUGCCUUACACAUGCAAGUCGAACGGUAACAGGUCUUCGGAUGCUGACGAGUGGCGAACGGGUGCGUAAUACAUCGGAACGUGCCCGAUCGUGGGGGAUAACGAGGCGAAAGCUUUGCUAAUACCGCAUACGAUCUACGGAUGAAAGCGGGGGAUCUUCGGACCUCGCGCGGACGGAGCGGCCGAUGGCAGAUUAGGUAGUUGGUGGGAUAAAAGCUUACCAAGCCGACGAUCUGUAGCUGGUCUGAGAGGAUGAUCAGCCACACUGGGACUGAGACACGGCCCAGACUCCUACGGGAGGCAGCAGUGGGGAAUUUUGGACAAUGGGCGAAAGCCUGAUCCAGCUAUGCCGCGUGCAGGAUGAAGGCCUUCGGGUUGUAAACUGCUUUUGUACGGAACGAAAAGCCUCUUUCUAAUAAAGAGGGGUCAUGACGGUACCGUAAGAAUAAGCACCGGCUAACUACGUG
rnacentral:rRNA from 1 species